rnacentral:rRNA from 1 species
ACUACGGGUGGCAGCAGUGGGGGAUAUUGCACAAUGGGGGGAACCCUGAUGCAGCGACGCCGCGUGGGUGAAGAAGCGCCUCGGCGCGUAAAGCCCUGUCAGCAGGGAAGAAAAUGACGGUACCUGAAGAAGAAGCCCCGGCUAACUACGUGCCAGCAGCCGCGGUAAUACGUAGGGGGCAAGCGUUAUCCGGAUUUACUGGGUGUAAAGGGGGCGCAGACGGCGAUGCAAGCCAGGAGUGAAAGCCCGGGGCCCAACCCCGGGACUGCUCUUGGAACUGCGUGGCUGGAGUGCAGGAGGGGCAUGCGGAAUUCCUGGUGUAGCGGUGAAAUGCGUAGAUAUCAGGAGGAACACCGGUGGCGAAGGCGGCCUGCUGGACUGCAACUGACGUUGAGGCCCGAAAGCGUGGGAGCAAACAGGAUUAGAUACCCCAGUAGUC